rnacentral:rRNA from 1 species
ACGGGGGAUGCAAGUGUUAUCCGGAAUCACUGGGCGUAAAGCGUCUGUAGGUGGUCAAAUAAGUCAACUGUUAAAUCUUGAGGCUCAACCUCAAAAUCGCAGUCGAAACUAUUAGACUAGAGUAUAGUAGGGGUAAAGGGAAUUUCCAGUGGAGCGGUGAAAUGCGUAGAUAUUGGGAGGAACACCGGUGGCGAAGGCGGCCAUCUGGACCAACACUGACGUUGAGGCACGAAAGCGUGGGGAGCAAACAGGA